rnacentral:tRNA from 1 species
GCCUCUUUAGCUCAGCUGGUUAGAGCGGCGGUUUCGUAAACCGCAGGUCGCGGGUUCAAAUCCCGUGAGAGGCUCCA